AUCGCUUCUCGGCCUUUUGGCUAAGAUCAAAGUGUAGUAUCUGUCUUUUCAGCUUAAUAUCUGAAGUUCCCGCACUGCGGGACCAGUAUAUUAAACUGAUUUUUGGAAAACGGGAAGUGAAAUUCAAGUCCUGUCCUACUAAUAAUGAGUCUAUCCGGAAUUAGAAAAAUA
rnacentral:snRNA from 1 species